UGAUGAUGAUGAUGAUGAUGAUGAUGAUGACGAUGAUGAUGAUUAAUGACGUAAUGAUGAUUGAUUUUAUUUUCAUCAUCAUCGUCGUCGUCACCAUCAUUACCUACA
rnacentral:pre_miRNA from 1 species